GACGAACGCUGGCGGCGUGCCUAAUACAUGCAAGUCGAGCGAGCUUGCCUAGAUGAAUUUGGUGCUUGCACCAAAUGAAACUAGAUACAAGCGAGCGGCGGACGGGUGAGUAACACGUGGGUAACCUGCCCAAGAGACUGGGAUAACACCUGGAAACAGAUGCUAAUACCGGAUAACAACACUAGACGCAUGUCUAGAGUUUAAAAGAUGGUUCUGCUGUCACUCUUGGAUGGACCUGCGGUGCAUUAGCUAGUUGGUAAGGCAACGGCUUACCAAGGCAAUGAUGCAUAGCCGAGUUGAGGGACUGAUCGGCCACAUUGGGACUGAGACACGGCCCAAACUCCUACGGGAGGCAGCAGUAGGGAAUCUUCCACAAUGGACGCAAGUCUGAUGGAGCAACGCCGCGUGAGUGAAGAAGGGUUUCGGCUCGUAAAGCUCUGUUGGUAGUGAAGAAAGAUAGAGGUAGUAACUGGCCUUUAUUUGACGGUAAUUACUUAGAAAGUCACGGCUAACUACGUG
rnacentral:rRNA from 1 species